AUUGAACGCUGGCGGAAUGCUUUACACAUGCAAGUCGAACGGCAGCACGGGGGCAGCCCUGGUGGCGAGUGGCGAACGGGUGAGUAAUACAUCGGAACGUGCCCGGUCGUGGGGGAUAACGUAGCGAAAGUUACGCUAAUACCGCAUACGAUCUGAGGAUGAAAGCGGGGGACCUUCGGGCCUCGCGCGAUCGGAGCGGCCGAUGUCAGAUUAGGUAGUUGGUGGGGUAAAGGCCUACCAAGCCGACGAUCUGUAGCUGGUCUGAGAGGACGACCAGCCACACUGGGACUGAGACACGGCCCAGACUCCUACGGGAGGCAGCAGUGGGGAAUUUUGGACAAUGGGCGCAAGCCUGAUCCAGCCAUUCCGCGUGCAGGACGAAGGCCUUCGGGUCGUAAACUGCUUUUGUACGGAACGAAAAGGCUCUGGCUAAUACCUGGGGCUCAUGACGGUACCGUAAGAAUAGGCACCGGCUAACUACGUG
rnacentral:rRNA from 1 species